GACGAACGCUGGCGGCGUGCCUAAUACAUGCAAGUUGAGCGCUGAAGGUUGGUACUUGUACCAACUGGAUGAGCAGCGAACGGGUGAGUAACGCGUGGGGAAUCUGCCUUUGAGCGGGGGACAACAUUUGGAAACGAAAGCUAAUACCGCAUAAAAACUUUAAACACAAGUUUUAAGUUUGAAAGAUGCAAUUGCAUCACUCAAAGAUGAUCCCGCGUUGUAUUAGCUAGUUGGUGAGGUAAAGGCUCACCAAGGCGAUGAUACAUAGCCGACCUGAGAGGGUGAUCGGCCACAUUGGGACUGAGACACGGCCCAAACUCCUACGGGAGGCAGCAGUAGGGAAUCUUCGGCAAUGGACGAAAGUCUGACCGAGCAACGCCGCGUGAGUGAAGAAGGUUUUCGGAUCGUAAAACUCUGUUGGUAGAGAAGACCGUUGGUGAGAGUGGAAAGCUCAUCAAGUGACGGUAACUACCCAGAAAGGGACGGCUAACUACGUG
rnacentral:rRNA from 1 species